AAAGUACUCCCUCCGUCCCAAAAUUCUUGUCUUAGAUUUGUCUAGAUACGGAUGUAUCAAGUCAUACAUCCGUAUCUAGACAAAUCUAAGACAAGAAAUUUGGGACAGAGGGAGUAGUUG
rfam:Triticum aestivum genome assembly, contig: Triticum_aestivum_CS42_TGACv1_scaffold_161981_2DL